UGAAUAAAAAGUCUGAAGAAAUAUCGUUUCACACGGCCUACCGGAUGAGUCUAAAUCAGUCCUUAACCAAGAUACAAUCUUUGAUACACCUAGAAAAUAUAAACUAAGAGAAAAGUUAAAAAAACGGGAACUUAAUU